rnacentral:rRNA from 1 species
UUCCAGACUCCUACGGGAGGCAGCAGUGAGGAAUAUUGGUCAAUGGGCGGAAGCCUGAACCAGCCAAGUCGCGUGAGGGAAUAAGGCCCUACGGGUCGCAGACCUCUUUGGACGGGGAGCAAGGCCGCCGACGUGUCGGCGGAAGGAGAGUACCCGUAGAACAAGCAUCGGCUAACUCCGUGCCAGCAGCCGCGGUAAUACGGAGGAUGCGAGCGUUAUCCGGAUUUAUUGGGUUUAAAGGGUGCGUAGGCGGAAUAUCAAGUCAGCGGUAAAAAGUCGGGGCUCAACCCCGUCGUGCCGUUGAAACUGAUGUUCUUGAGUGGGCGAGAAGUAUGCGGAAUGCGUGGUGUAGCGGUGAAAUGCAUAGAUAUCACGCAGAACUCCGAUUGCGAAGGCAGCAUACCGGCGCCCAACUGACGCUGAAGCACGAAAGCGUGGGUAUCGAACAGGAUUAGAUACCCCAGUA